rnacentral:rRNA from 1 species
AUACGGAGGAUGCGAGCGUUAUCCGGAUUUAUUGGGUUUAAAGGGUGCGCAGGCGGCCAUUUAAGUCAGCGGUUAAAUCGUGGGGCUCAACCCCAUUCUGCCGUUGAUACUGGGUGGCUUGAUUGCGGUCGAGGUUGGCGGAAUUCGUUGUGUAGCGGUGAAAUGCAUAGAUAUGACGAAGAACACCGAUUGCGUAGGCAGCUGACCAGACCGCAAAUGACGCUCAUGCACGAAAGUGCGGGGAUCGAACAGGAUUAGAUACCCUGGUAGUCCGCACAGUAAACGAUGAAUACUUGUUUUCGGCGAUAUAAUGUCGGAGGCAAAGCGAAAGCGAUAAGUAUUCCACCUGGGGAGUACGCCGGCAACGGUGAAACUUAAAGGAAUUGGCGGGG